rnacentral:tRNA from 1 species
GGGCGGAUAGCUCAGUUGGUUAGAGCGUUUCUUUCACACAGAAGAGGUCGCAGGUUCGAGUCCUGUUCUGCCCA